rnacentral:rRNA from 1 species
AUGAACGCUGGCGGCGUGCCUAACACAUGCAAGUCGAACGAUGAAACCGCCCUCGGGCGGACAUGAAGUGGCGAACGGGUGAGUAACACGUGACCAACCUGCCCCUUGCUCCGGGACAACCUUGGGAAACCGAGGCUAAUACCGGAUACUCCUCGCCCCCCUCCUGGGGGGCCCGGGAAAGCCCAGACGGCAAGGGAUGGGGUCGCGGCCCAUUAGGUAGUAGGCGGGGUAACGGCCCACCUAGCCCGCGAUGGGUAGCCGGGUUGAGAGACCGACCGGCCACAUUGGGACUGAGAUACGGCCCAGACUCCUACGGGAGGCAGCAGUGGGGAAUUUUGCGCAAUGGGGGAAACCCUGACGCAGCAACGCCGCGUGCGGGACGACGGCCUUCGGGUUGUAAACCGCUUUCAGCAGGGAAGAAAUUCGACGGUACCUGCAGAAGAAGCUCCGGCUAACUACGUGCCAGCAGCCGCGGUAAUACGUAGGGAGCGAGCGUUAUCCGGAUUCAUUGGGCGUAAAGAGCGCGUAGGCGGCCUCUCAAGCGGGAUCUCUAAUCCGAGGGCUCAACCCCCGGCCGGAUCCCGAACUGGGAGGCUCGAGUUCGGUAGAGGCAGGCGGAAUUCCCGGUGUAGCGGUGGAAUGCGCAGAUAUCGGGAAGAACACCGAUGGCGAAGGCAGCCUGCUGGGCCGCAACUGACGCUGAGGCGCGAAAGCUAGGGGAGCGAACAGGAUUAGAUACCCUGGUAGUCCACGCAGUAAACGAUGGACACUAUCUGUUCGGGUCGAAUGGGAUCUGAGUGGCACAGCGAAAGCGUUAAGUGUCCCACCUGGGGAGUACGCCGGCAACGGUGAAACUCAAAGGAAUUGACGGGGGCCCGCACAAGCAGCGGAGCAUGUGGCUUAAUUCGAAGCAACGCGAAGAACCUUACCAGGUCUUGACAUCCAACUAACGAAGCAGAGAUGCAUUAGGUGCCCUUCGGGGAAAGUUGAGACAGGUGGUGCAUGGUUGUCGUCAGCUCGUGUCGUGAGAUGUUGGGUUAAGUCCCGCAACGAGCGCAACCCUUACGGUCAGUUACUACGAAAGAGGACUCAGGCCGGACUGCCGUUGACAAAACGGAGGAAGGCGGGGACGACGUCAAAUCAUCAUGCCCCUUAUGACCUGGGCUACACACGUACUACAAUGGCGUUAAACAAAGAGAAGCAAGACCGCGAGGUGGAGCAAAACUCAGAAACAACGUCCCAGUUCGGACUGCAGGCUGCAACUCGCCUGCACGAAGUCGGAAUUGCUAGUAAUCGCGGAUCAGCAUGCCGCGGUGAAUACGUUCCCGGGCCUUGUACACACCGCCCGUCACACCACCCGAGUCGUCUGCACCCGAAGCCGCCGGCCGAACCCGCAAGGGGCGGAGGCGUCGAAGGUGUGGAGGGUAAGGGGGGUG